GAGCCUUACAGCCAGCAGAGCGCUGGACCAAGUGCAGCCUGGAGCUGGCGCGUCCAGGUGGAAGGAGAGCUCAUUCACUUACGUGGGGAUCUGAAGGCCUGUCACCCGCAAAGACCAAGGGAGAUGGCAAAGCGGACCUAGUACAGACCCUUGGAGGGAGGCGACAGCUCAGAGACCCAGCCCCAGGAAGCAGAGAAAAGAAAUGAUUAAUAGUUUUAACCACGGAAAUGGAAAAGCCCUGAAGGUCAUUUGAGGCCGUGCCAGGCUGCACCCGGAUUUGCAUCAGGCCGCAGACCUUGUUGGGCCGUGGAGAGGGCC